GGUUGACUCUGCCAGAGAGGUGCUAUGAGCAGGAGCGAUAUCCUGUGAGUGCGUGUGUACCGCAGUACCCGUGGAAUCAUAGAGAAUGGAGGGAAGGCGUAGGCCCCGUGAGAGGGCCAGUCAUGAAGAAAUGCGUCCGCUGCUUUGGACAUCGGGUCCGGGAGCCAGCUGUAGUAUUUUUGAAGUUGAUGGUUGGUCCUGGAGGCGAACAAAUCUAUUGAUAG